CUAAUACAUGCCAGUCGAGCGGACAGAUGGGAGCUUGCUCCCUGAUGUUAGCGGCGGACGGGUGAGUAACACGUGGGUAACCUGCCUGUAAGACUGGGAUAACUCCGGGAAACCGGGGCUAAUACCGGAUGCUUGUUUGAACCGCAUGGUUCAGACAUAAAAGGUGGCUUCGGCUACCACUUACAGAUGGACCCGCGGCGCAUUAGCUAGUUGGUGAGGUAACGGCUCACCAAGGCGACGAUGCGUAGCCGACCUGAGAGGGUGAUCGGCCACACUGGGACUGAGACACGGCCCAGACUCCUACGGGAGGCAGCAGUAGGGAAUCUUCCGCAAUGGACGAAAGUCUGACGGAGCAACGCCGCGUGAGUGAUGAAGGUUUUCGGAUCGUAAAGCUCUGUUGUUAGGGAAGAACAAGUGCCGUUCAAAUAGGGCGGCACCUUGACGGUACCUAACCAGAAAGCCACGGCUAACUACGUGCCAGCAGCCGCGGUAAUACGUAGGUGGCAAGCGUUGUCCGGAAUUAUUGGGCGUAAAGGGCUCGCAGGCGGUUUCUUAAGUCUGAUGUGAAAGCCCCCGGCUCAACCGGGGAGGGUCAUUGGAAACUGGGGAACUUGAGUGCAGAAGAGGAGAGUGGAAUUCCACGUGUAGCGGUGAAAUGCGUAGAGAUGUGGAGGAACACCAGUGGCGAAGGCGACUCUCUGGUCUGUAACUGACGCUGAGGAGCGAAAGCGUGGGGAGCGAACAGGAUUAGAUACCCUGGUAGUCCACGCCGUAAACGAUGAGUGCUAAGUGUUAGGGGGUUUCCGCCCCUUAGUGCUGCAGCUAACGCAUUAAGCACUCCGCCUGGGGAGUACGGUCGCAAGACUGAAACUCAAAGGAAUUGACGGGGGCCCGCACAAGCGGUGGAGCAUGUGGGUUUAAUUCGAAGCAACGCGAAGAACCUUACCAGGUCUUGACAUCCUCUGACAAUCCUAGAGAUAGGACGUCCCCUUCGGGGGCAGAGUGACAGGUGGUGCAUGGUUGUCGUCAGCUCGUGUCGUGAGAUGUUGGGUUAAGUCCCGCAACGAGCGCAAACCCUUGAUCUUAGUUGCCAGCAUUCAGUUGGGCACUCUAAGGUGACUGCCGGUGACAAACCGGAGGAAGGUGGGGAUGACGUCAAAUCAUCAUGCCCCUUAUGACCUGGGCUACACACGUGCUACAAUGGGCAGAACAAAGGGCAGCGAAACCGCGAGGUUAAGCCAAUCCCACAAAUCUGUUCUCAGUUCGGAUCGCAGUCUGCAACUCGACUGCGUGAAGCUGGAAUCGCUAGUAAUCGCGGAUCAGCAUGCCGCGGUGAAUACGUUCCCGGGCCUUGUACACACCGCCCGUCACACCACGAGAGUUUGUAACACCCGAAGUCGGUGAGGUAACCUUUUUGGAGCCAGCCGCCGAAGGGGGCCCUUAU
rnacentral:rRNA from 1 species